GCUGGGCAGUUGGGGGGCGGUUCUCUGGGACCAAGAGCCAAGCUGGGGAGCAGGGAGGAUGCAGAUCCGUCCUUGGCUUCAGGCGUCCCGGGAUGGGCGAUGGCUGGUGCCCAACUGUCAACCUGCCAUCACACGUUGCUAAGUCAAAAUUGUGCCACCAGGCAAGGUGCUUAUGUCCUGUAAGCUGAUGCUGAGGAGCACAGGACCCCUCCUAUCACGUUCUCUGCUCUCGUCACUACCUAGCCAGGCCCUGCUCCUUCUGCUGAGAGCCCUUCCUUCUCAGCUAACCACCCCAGAGAGGAAUCGGAGCACAACUGAGCUGCCACCUGCCUGUCUGGGAUUCGGCGCCUGUCUUAGCUGUCCAAUUGUUGGGGCCCCACUUCUAGGGAGCAUCGGAUGCCCCCCUGGAAUCUACAGCAGUGAUUUUGCUGUGAGCGGGAGGCAUGAGACGCGAUGGGAGAAGAGCCCUGCGGUGUGGGGGAGCAUCUCCCUGAGGCGAACUGGGACCAUUCUCUGUCGCCUUGGCUCAUAGCCAAGAUGAGCGAUGGGAGGAACAAUCUUUCACUGCACAUUAAAAUCAAGUACUGGCCAGCAGAAUCUUCUGAGGUCGUCCUCGUCAUCAUCAUUACCAUCACCACCACCAGCAUCUCUGCUAUCUAUUAGUCAGCAUAAUUCCUCCUGAGUUCCAUGGGAGUUCAGACUGUGUCUUGUUCAUUAAAUCAGCUCUUCCACCCAGCCCAGUGUUUGGUACCUGCUCGAUACCUAAUGAAUAUUAGAUGUUAUAAUAGUUUAUUAAAAAUGAAUGAAUAAAUAAAUGAGGUUUCAAACAAA